rnacentral:lncRNA from 10 species
GGAGGGAGGAAGGGAAGGACUUGCCCAGGUCACCCAAUAGCAAGUAGCAAAAUCCUGAUUACACUUCAUGUUCUUUGGACUUGGCAGCCCUUCUGGGGAAAGGGCAGCAGUGAUUUUUUUCUUGCUUCAGAGGGAUCCUGGAAUUUUAAAAGUCUUACUUAAAUGCAAAGAGGGCAAAGGAGAUUGAGGAGUAGAAAGUACUAUGUUAGCAUAUAUACCUUGCUAAGGAAGCAGAUCUGAAAGAAUAGAUACAAGUGUAACUGACUCACAGGCUGAGGAAAAAAGCAAGGGGCAGCAUAAAAAGAACCAAAACCACAAAGACACUUUUGUUGCAAAUCCUUUCUUUUGUGGUGACAGCAAGUGCCUGAAUUCCAGCUGUGAUUGUAUAUAUUUCCAGAGAACAAAGCUUUAUAAUAGUAUACUUGUCCCAACUAGACUGACAAAUUAACACUUGCUGAUGGUGGUCCACACCUCUCCACCACAUGGGGAUGGCAGCUGUGGCUAGCAAGCAUACUGAUGGAGAGUUGCUACAGAUUUUUUAACCUGGAAAAUCCAUUUUAUAUCUUCUAUGUGCAGCCUUUAAAAAGAUAAAUAAAGUUAUAUAUAUAUAUAUGUAGAAAAUAUAUUAGAAAUUGCAUAUACAUAUUUGCUGAUUGAUUCACCCAGUCUAUUUUAUCAUAGCAAAAUAUGAGGUCUGUGAACAAAGCAUGUACUUGUCAGAGAAAAACGAAUGUUUAUUCUAUAUAAAUGUAAAAUAUAUACCACAUAUGUGUAUUUUGUAUAAUUGUAUAUGCUCUCAUUAUGUUCAUAUUCAAAAGACAAGAGUUGAUAUUAUAUGUAUACAGACCUAUAACUCUAUUGUAUGUGGCAUAUGGACAUGUCUCCAUAGCUUGCUCUAUGUACUAUCUAUGUGUGUAUAUAUGUAUGUAUGAAUCUAUCCACGGAAUAUUACUAGAAAGAACAAAAACUUUAGAGUCAGAUACAUUUAGAUUUAAAAUUCAAAUAUCUGACUCAAUAAAUACAGAAUUAUGGG